rnacentral:rRNA from 1 species
UACAGAGGUGCCGAGCGUUAGGCGGAAUCACUGGGCUUAAAGCGUGUGUAGGCGGAUGCCUAAGUACCUUGUGAAAUCUCACAGCUCAACUGUGGAACUGCUUGGUAUACUGGGUGUCUUGAGCCACUUAGGGGUUACCGGAACAAAUGGUGGAGCGGUGAAAUGCGUAGAUAUCAUUUGGAACGCCAAUGGUGAAAACAGGUAACUGGGAGUGUGCUGACGCUGAGACACGAAAGCCAGGGGAGCGAACGGG